CAGCUAUGGCAAGGGAGCUGCCCUGUGCUAGGAGCGGAUGGACUGCGAGGAGCUGUGUCUGAGGAAUGGCUGUGAUUGGGUCAAGAGCUGUGGGUAAAAAUCAAGGACCGGCCCAGCAAAGAGCACCCGGUGGUCGGAGUCUGCUGCAGCCCACCCGAUCAGGAGGAAGCUGUUGACGAGCCCUUCUUGCUUCAGCUGCAAGAGGUGUCACGCUCGCAGGCUCUUGUCCUGAUGGGGGAUUUCAACUGCCUGGAUACCUGCUAGGAGAGCAGCACAGCAGGGGGCAGACAGUAGAGGAGAUUGCUGGGGUCUGCCAAAGCCGACCUGCUGGUCCAGUAACAGAUGGACCGACCUGGUGUGAAGCCUUACUGGACUUGGUGCUCACCAGUGCAGAGGAGAGCGUUAGAGAGGUUAAGACUGGAGGCAGCCUGGGCUGUAAUGAAUGCCUUGAUGGAGUUUGUGAUCUUGAAGAAUGCAGAUCUGGCAAAAAGUGGACCAGGACUCUGAACUUCAGGAGAGCAAAGUUCUGGCUACAUAUUUUCCUCUCAUGCUUUAGUGUCACCUCCCUUUGUGUCCACCACUGAUCUGCAGUGGUAAGUAAGGCCUGAGUGCCCAAAUGUUGGUCUGUGCGGUCCAUGAUGGUACUGCACGUGGCCUGCAGAGUGUUUUGCAACCUGCCUGUGGCCAGCCGGUGGGUCUCCCUGUUCCACUGUAGCUGUGGAACUGACAACCUGGAUGUUUAUCCCAUCUCAUUACCUGACCCAGCUCUGGUCUUUGAUGGAAAAAGAGAUCACAGAUUUAAUGGGAACUUCUCUUAUCUGAUUGUGAUUCUAGAUGACUACACUGGUCCUUUCUAUCCAGUGUUCUGGUCAGACGCAGCUUUUGUUCCUGAGGUGGAACCUCAGGAACACUGCCAGGACAGAGCCUUUGGGGCUCCCCCUACCGUUCUAUUUUCCUCCCCUCUUUGUCCCCUUUCAGUUCUCUUCCCCUCCCCGUCUCCAGACAGUUCCACACAUGGAUUGUUGUGUAUCAGCACAGUGCCACUGCAGGCACCUGGCAUGUAUGGCUGAGAUGCUGCUGUGUGGAAGGGAGAGAAGAGUGCUGUGGAGCGAUCCCUCCUUGUUUCCAUCUGGAUGUGGAUAUGGACGUGUUUGAUAUGAGCUGCUCUGUCCUGUUUGUUUACAGAUGUGAGUGGAGAUGAAUGGGAUGCAGAAUCCCAGCUGGCUCCCCGGAUGGAAGCUCUAGCAGAUGGUAUGAGUAUGUCAUGGCUUUUUACUUCCUUUGUGAGCUGCCAGCUCACAGCCCUAAUGUCAGCCAGGCACGCCUGCAGGAGUGAGAGCACAGAGCUGCACGUGCGUGCCCUGUCCCUGCACCAUCCUCUGGUACCAUCUGCUCCUCAGAUGGCACUGUGCCGUUACGCGUGACACAGAUGAUGGAAAGCUUUCAUGGUUCUUUGCUUGCAGAAGUGCCUCCAGAGAGAGCCAUGCCAAACCUGCAGCUGCUUCCCAUGCCGGAGCCCCGCUGGUAUCCCAGGGGUGGGCAGGGUGGUCUGUCUGGAUGGACUGCACCAAAUAGAGUUCAGUAGCUGGUUCAUCUGAAACGUGUCCUGGUACAUCCUGUUCAGGUCCUGUGAGACAGAGAGGGAAGUUGAGGGCUUGGAAACCAACAUUCUACGUAUGUGGAAAACAUUGAUGUCUUCUGAGAAGUAGUGCCCUCUGAAGAUAACGUCUUCCUGGUAAGAGCAGAUAUUUACUGUCCCACUCUGCUACCUUCUUUCUAAAGAGAUCGACGGAGAGCCUGUGGAUGAGGCUGUGUUUCAGGAGGGCAGCAGCCGCACGCUGCUCUUCUCCCAUGAGGACACAGAGGAUGGUGCUGAAUCUCCCCUGGUGCAACUUGAGGCCGUUCCCUCUCGUCCUCUCACUGUUAGUUGAGAGUAGAGACCAACCCCCAACUCACCACAGCCUCCCUCAGGAGUUAGAGCGCAGUGAGGUCUCCCCAGGACCCUUCUUGCAGCAAGGGACCCAGAGCUGAACACAGCACUGGAGCUGCAGCCUCACCAGAGGAACAAUCACUUCCUGAUCUGCUGGCAGCACCAUUUCUGAUGCAGGCCAGGAUACCAUUGGUCCUCUUGGCCACUGGGCACCCUGCUGGCUCGUGUUCAGCUGAGUAUCAACCGACAACCCCAGGUCCGUUUCCUCUACACUGACUUCCAGCUGCUCUGCCCCACGCCCAUAGCGGUGCCUGGGGUUGUUGUGGCCAAAGUGCAUCUCCAGUUGACCAGGAGGGCUGACAGAUGAUGGAAAGCAGCUUGGCUUUUCACCUCCACCAGCUCCCCCAGUACUCUUGGAUUAAUCUCAUCUGCCCCCAUGGACUUGUGGCAGUCCAGGUGGAACACAGGACUCUGUUUCCUCCUGAAUUGAGGGGGUUUAUUCUGCUCCCCAUCCCAGACUUCCAGGUCAGAGAGCAGAGCACCAAAGAAGAGCUUUUUUUUCACCCUUUGCACUUCACAUCUGUUGCACACUGCCAUCUUCCCUUCCCUGAAGCUGCUCCGCCCAUAAAUGUUGGCAGGGGUCUAAAGCCACAGCCACCAGUCCUGCAUUAGGAUUUUGUGAAAGGGGUGCAGCAUUUGGCAUUGGGGUGCAACUUUUUGUUAAAAGGGUUACAUCUUUGGGCCUUGGCUUCAGGCUUUUGCUAAAGGGGUUCAGCCUCUUGUUCUUGGGGUUAUGCUGUUUGGCACCAUUUGACCUUGGGCUUCUGCUUUUAGUUUUCAUUUCUCCUGUCUUCCAUCUCUAUGCCUCUCCAGAGCUCUCCAGCAGAGACACUUUUUUUUUGCUCCAGCCUUCAUGGACAAACUCCACUGGGCAGAAGAGAUCUGUGCAGACACACAGCAGACAUCUGUGUGUGCAGAGGGACUCUGCUCAUCCCAUUUCUCUUCCCGUCUACGUCUCGUCCCACUCGGCGCAUUUUGAAGGGCUGACUCUCUUUCCAUCUCCUGAGUCGUGCCUCCCCUGGUCAGCAAAGGACCGCUACUGCAAUGGAGUCAUCCAAACUCAGAGGAAUAAUAGAUGUCCAUUUAUUGAGAGCUUUCUUAACAGCCAGCAACAAGCUAUUGGAGGUAACAUUGGCCAGUGGGCUGAUUGCAAGGAAUAAUGUUAGAUGUAACAACUGUAGGCAAUGGCUGUGACAAAGAGUCAAAGAAUAACAGAUGACAAAGAGAAAAGGCAGAAAAUGGAGAAAGAGGGACAGACAGCAAAGCGCUCGUAGAUCCAGCCGCGUCCUGGUGUCAGGUACGGAUCUCUAGUGUGAUGGGUCGUCAUCGGACAACGACUGACAACGACUCACGACAACAGUAGAAACUCACUGAGAAGUCCAAAGCGGUGGCACUCAGCCGCCUGCCAGCACUGCCCCACAGCUGUGCCUGUGCGCCCCGGGGGGGCAGGAGCAGAGGAGAAGCCCCUUCCAUGGGGACAGAGCCCUUUCCCCGCACCCCACCGCGCAGCCCCGAGCUGGGAGGGGCUACCGAGCACAGCGGUCAGAUGGGCAGCAGCCCAUCACAAACCACACGCAGGGUGCUGCUCGCAAAGUACGCCAGGGAAGCGUACAUUGCCCGGGGCAGCACUUGAGGCAGGAGCCGAUAGAAGAGCUCCUGGUCGAAGUGCUGGGCGUACAGCACUGCAGAGGCCAGCACAACAAUGAGGAGCAGCUGGAGGCAGACCAGGAUGAGGCAGAUCAUCCUGUGGGGCAAAAGAGAAAGGGGGCUGGGAAUGAGGCACCCCCACCCCACGGCUGUCGAUGGGUGGCUUGCUAGCCAAGGGGGCCAUGGGCCCCUCGAACAGCUGUACGAGCAGGACAGGGCGGGAGGCUCUCAAGCUGUACAGAUGGAAAAAUACUAGCGUGCCACCUGCGAGGACACUGUAUCCUUGAGCCCCAAAGUAAACGACCACGGAGGAACUUGGUUUGGAGAUAAGGAAGUAACCGCGGGUGUGCCACAGAGAUAGUUCCUAAGGCAUGAAAACGUGUGUAGCCCAUCACCUUUGUGAGUAAGGGGUAGUUACGGGGUUGUUAACUGAUCAGCUUGUGGCAAGUUUACUAAUAUGGUUAUGAAUAGUCUCACUUUAACAAUAAAGCGGGGUUUUCCUGAUGCA